GAGAGGGAAGUGUUAACUCUCAGGGGAGCCAUAAGCCCUGCCCAAGAGUAAAGAGGACGCCUCCCCUCCUCCUCCAGGUUCCUCCUUCCGAUACUUCCCCCGGAAGCCUCUGCAAAGCCCAGUUUCCAGAACACCGGCACUGUCCCACGUAAGGCUCACCAUGCAGAGUGGAUGGAUACAGAGAGCUUCCUUCCGUCUUAUAGAUUGUGCACCUGUUUAGCGCGGCCCCAAGACUAGGGCUGUGCAUGUCACACACACGAAGACACUCGUGGACUGGGCUUUCUGAGCAGGUCUCGAUUCCGCCAGUCAACAGUCUGAAAGUUCAGGAUCUCCUGAUCAGAAGCAGGACGUCCAUAUGCAGGCUGCACUGGAGGCCACGCUUUUGAAAAGUUGAAACAAAGCACAAAGGAAGUGGUCCCCAGUCGGACCAGGUCUGGUGGUGGUACAUCUGACUAGGAGGAGAGAACAGAGAAGGAAGCUGCUCUGAGGGAGGACCAGAAGAGUAGGCACUAUGAGUCCUUGGCCCUUGCGUGCAGGCUGAAAUCAUCACUGAACGGAAACAACAAACAGUAAAGAGAUGCUAGCUGCCACGCCGCAGAGAGAGACGUAGAAGAUGCCCACCCGAGCAGGAAUCUCUGGCAGCCUUCGGGUGGAUCAGGCACAGACAGUGUUCACUCACUUCUAAUGAGCUUCAUGAUACCCAGGCAGAGUCUUCAACGCAUGUUGAUCACCAGCUAUGAGUCAAAUCAAUGGCAAAGACUCCCUCAGAGCCUUGCUCUAAUGACACAAUCCUUAGCGUCUGGAUGAAUCCUCCAUCUCCUCUAGGCUUCUCCUACUCAGGCUCCCUAGUUUGCAGAAAGAUGUGGGACCUAAGGGCGGCAGGAGGGACCUUUCUUUACACCGUUACUGAUAAAGGAUAAAUAACCCUCGGUUCCUUAAAC
ensembl:processed_transcript 4933439K11Rik RIKEN cDNA 4933439K11 gene